rnacentral:rRNA from 1 species
GUGGGGAAUUUUGGACAAUGGGGGCAACCCUGAUCCAGCAAUGCCGCGUGCAGGAAGAAGGCCUUCGGGUUGUAAACUGCUUUUGUACGGAACGAAACGGUCUGGGUUAAUACCCUGGGCUAAUGACGGUACCGUAAGAAUAAGCACCGGCUAACUACGUGCCAGCAGCCGCGGUAAUACGUAGGGUGCGAGCGUUAAUCGGACUUACUGGGCGUAAAGCGUGCGCAGGCGGUUUUGUAAGACAGGCGUGAAAUCCCCGGGCUCAACCUGGGAAUUGCCUUUGUGACUGCAAGGCUGGAGUGCGGCAGAGGGGGAUGGAAUUCCGCGUGUAGCAGUGAAAUGCGUAGAUAUGCGGAGGAACACCGAUGGCGAAGGCAAUCCCCUGGGCCUGCACUGACGCUCAUGCACGAAAGCGUGGGGAGCAAACAGGAUUAGAAACCCCUGUAGUCC